AUCUUCUCAGGUUUGCACCUGGAGAGUUUCCCGAACUCUACCAGUCUGGACUACAGCAGGGAGAGUAAGGCAGAGGCCUACCCAUUCCAUUCCUAGUUUGGCCAGGGGCUAGCAAGUGGAAGAUAAUCUGCUACAAGU